rnacentral:rRNA from 1 species
CGCACGGGUGAGUAACACGUAAGUAAUCUACCUUCGAGUGGGGAAUAACGUUCGGAAACGGACGCUAAUACCGCAUAAUGCAGCGGCACCUAAUGGUGACAGUUGUUAAAGGAGCAAUUCGCUUGAAGAGGAGCUUGCGGCAGAUUAGCUAGUUGGUAAGGUAACGGCUUACCAAGGCUACGAUCUGUAACCGGUCUAAGAGGACGGUCGGUCACACUGACACUGAAUAACGGGUCAG